UACAGGAAGGACUCCCUAUGUGCUGCACAUCACCCCCUUACUGGGCACCUCUAACCCAAGGAUAGGUGCUGGCUCCACUGUGGUGUCCAUCACCAGUAUCUUCACCAUCAGUGGUUUGUGCCAUAAAAGGACAUGCGGCUAGACCCUGUACAGUCAAGUUCCACAUAGUCACUUGCAUAAAACCUGAUUAGAAACACUGGUCAGAUAGCUCAUUUCUUUUCCAGGUUCAGCCAAAGCCUCCUUGAGUUUAUUUGUACAUUCGUAGAGGAUAUAUAGAGAUGAAAGUGUAUAUACUUCCAAGUCUCAAAUUUUGGAAGUGCCUAAACUAGGUGGUCAUUUUAAUGUCUAAAACUUGCAUUUUGUGAUUUUUUAUCUGAAAUACUGAGAUUAAAAUGGACUUGACUCAAAA